AGAGUUUGAUCCUGGCUCAGAGCGAACGCUGGCGGCAGGCCUAACACAUGCAAGUCGAGCGCCCCGCAAGGGGAGCGGCAGGCGGGAGAGUAACACGUGGGAACGUACCCUUUGGUCGGAACAACCCAGGGAAACUUGGGCUAAUACCGAAUAAGCCCUUACGGGGAAAGAUUCAUCGCCGAAGGAUCGGCCCGCGUCUGAUUAGCUAGUUGGUGGGGUAACGGCCCACCAAGGCGACGAUCAGUAGCUGGUCUGAGAGGAUGAUCAGCCUCACUGGGACUGAGACACGGCCCAGACUCCUACGGGAGGCAGCAGUGGGGAAUAUUGGACAAUGGGCGCAAGCCUGAUCCAGCCAUGCCGCGUGGGUGAUGAAGGCCCUAGGGUUGUAAAGCCCUUUCGGCGGGGAAGAUAAUGACGGUACCCGCAGAAGAAGCCCCGGCUAACUUCGUG
rnacentral:rRNA from 1 species